CUUUAUAAACAAAACAAAAAAGCAAAAUCAGCAUGCUGCGGGUCAGUGCAAUCGCAGAACAUUCUGCCUUCGUGCGAUACUCUAGGUCCUUACACUCAGAAAAGAAAGAAAAGAUCCUUGCACCCAAUCCCACUGGAGUGUCCACAAAUGGUAACUCUGUAUAAAUUUCAACACUUAAAGGGGUUUAAAUGUGAAAAGGUGGUGCCGAGUUAAUUUUAAAGGGAGAGCAAAUCGAGGAUGGUUUUCACAAACUAGCCCCGUUUUUGUUUUG